UACGGGUUGUGAGAGCAAGAGCCCGGAGAUGGAUUCUGAGACACGAAUCCAGGCCCUACGGGGUGCAGCAGGCGCGAAAACUUUACAAUGCCGGCAACGGCGAUAAGGGGACCUCGAGUGCCAGGUUACAAAUCUGGCUGUCGUGAUGCCUAAAAAGCAUUGCAUAGCAAGGGCCGGGCAAGACCGGUGCCAGCCGCCGCGGUAACACCGGCGGCUCGAGUGGUAACCGUUAUUAUUGGGUCUAAAGGGUCUGUAGCCGGCCGGAUAAGUCUCUUGAGAAAUCCAGCAGCUCAACUGUUGGGCUUUCAGGAGAUACUGUUCGGCUCGAGGCCGGGAGAGGUGAGAGGUACUUCAGGGGUAGGGGUGAAAUCUUGUAAUCCUUGAAGGACCACCAGUGGCGAAGGCGUCUCACCAGAACGGACCUGACGGCAAGGGACGAAAGCUAGGGGCACGAACCGGAUUAGAUACCCGGGUAGUCCUAGCCGUAAACGAUACUCGCUAGGUGUCGGCCACGGUGCGACCGUUGUCGGUGCCGUAGGGAAGCCGUGAAGCGAGCCACCUGGGAAGUACGGCCGCAAGGCUGAAACUUAAAGGAAUUGGCGGGGGAGAAGGGCGA
rnacentral:rRNA from 1 species